rnacentral:lncRNA from 1 species
CUGCCUUUUUAUUUUUCAGUCUAUUCGGUCCUGCCUUUUUUUUCUUAGCUUAUCCUGACUUUUUUAUAACAAUUGUCAUCCUGCCUUUUUAUACGACCGCAAAAUUUGAAAAAUUUUUCGUGGUAUAUUGCUAUCACGUUGGUGUCGUCGUCUGCGUCGUCAUCGGAAUACUUUUAGUUUUCGCACUCUAACUUUAGUAAAAGUGAAUGGAAAUCUAUAAAAUUUUAACACAAGGUUUAUGACCACAAAAGGAAGGUUGGUAUUGAUUUUGGGAGUUUUGGUCCCAACAUUUUAGGAAUUAGGGGCCAAAAAGGGCCCAAAUAAGCAUUUUCUUGGUUUUCGCACUAUAACUUUAGUUUAAGUUAAUAGAAAUCUAUGAAAUUUUGACACAAGGUUUAUGACCACAAAAGAACGGUUGGGAUUGAUUUUGGGAGUUUUGGUUUCAAAAGUUUAGGAAUUAGGGGCCAAAAAAGGGCCCAAAUAAGCAUUAUUCUUGGUUUUCGCACAAUAACUUUAGUUUAAGUAAUUAGAAAUCAAUGAAAUUUAAACACAAUGUUAAUGACUACAAAAGGAAGGUUGGUAUUGAUUUUGGGAGUUUAGGUCCCAACAGUUUAGGAAUUAGGGGCCAAAAUGGGACCCAAAUAAGCAUUUUUCUUGGUUUUCGCACCAUAACGUUAGUAUAAGUAAACAGAAAUCUAUGAAAUUUAAACACAAGGUUUAUGACCAUAAAAGGAAGGUUGGUAUUGAUUUUGGGAGUUUUGGUCCCAACAUAAUAAGGGGCCCAAAGGGUCCAAAAUUAAACUUUGUUUGAUUUCAUCAAAAUUGAAUAAUUGGGGUUCUUUGAUAUGCCGAAUCUAACUGUCAUGACUGUGUAUGUAGAUUCUUAACUUUUGGUCCCGUUUUCAAAUUGGUCUACAUUAAGGUCCAAAGGGUCCAAAAUUAAACUUAGUUUGAUUUUGACAAAAAAUAAAUCAGUUAGGUUCUUUGAUAUGCUGAAUCUAAAAAUGUACUUAGAUUCUUGAUUAUUGGCCCAGUUUUCAAGUUGGUCCAAAUUGGGGUCCAAAAUUAAACUUUGUUUGAUUUCAUCAAAAAUUGAAUAAAUGGGGUUCUUUGAUAUACCAAAUCUAACUGUGUAUGUAGAUUCUUCAUUUUUGGUCCUGUUUUCAAAUUGGUCUACACUAAAGUCCAAAGGGUCCAAAAUUAAACUUAGUCUGAUUUUAACAAAAAUUGAAAUCUUG